GAUCCUGGCUCAGAACGAACGCUGGCGGCGUGGAUAAGACAUGCAAGUCGGACGAGACUUUUCGUUGUAGCAAUACGAUGGAAAGUUUAGUGGCGAACGGGUGCUUAACACGUGGGCAACCUGCCAGGAAGUGGGGGAUAGCUCGCCGAAAGGCGAAUUAAUACCGCAUGUGAUUAGAGAGGACAUCCUUUCGAAAUUAAAGUCGGGGCAACCUGACGCUUCUUGUGGGGCCCGCGGCCUAUCAGCUAGUUGGUGAGGUAACGGCUCACCAAGGCUUUGACGGGUAGCUGGUCUGAGAGGACGACCAGCCACACUGGGACUGAGACACGGCCCAGACACCUACGGGUGGCAGCAGUCGAGAAUUUUUGACAAUGGGGGAAACCCUGAUCGAGCGACGCCGCGUGGAGGAUGAAGGUCUUCGGAUUGUAAACUCCUGUCAUUGGGGAACAAGGUGCAUACGUUAACUGCGUGUGCAUUGAUAGUACCCGAAGAGGAAGAGACGGCUAACUCUGUGCCAGCAGCCGCGGUAAUGCAGAGGUCUCAAGCGUUGUUCGGAUUCAUUGGGCGUAAAGGGUGCGUAGGCGGCGCGGUAAGUCGGGUGUGAAAUCUCGGA
rnacentral:rRNA from 1 species